rnacentral:rRNA from 1 species
CGAUGCAUCAUUCAAAUAUCUGCCCUAUCAACUUUCGAUGGUAGGAUAGUGGCCUACCAUGGUUUUAACGGGUAACGGGGAAUAAGGGUUCGAUUCCGGAGAGGGAGCCUGAGAAACGGCUACCACAUCCAAGGAAGGCAGCAGGCGCGCAAAUUACCCAAUCCCAAUUCGGGGAGGUAGUGACAAUAAAUAACAAUAUAGGGCUCUUUUGGGUCUUAUAAUUGGAAUGAGUACAAUUUAAAUCACUUAACGAGGAACAAUUGGAGGGCAAGUCUGGUGCCAGCAGCCGCGGUAAUUCCAGCUCCAAUAGCGUAUAUUAAAGUCGUUGCAGUUAAAAAGCUCGUAGUUGAACCUUGGGCCUGGCUGGCCGGUCCGCCUCACCGCGUGCACUGGUCCGGCCGGGCCUUUCCUUCUGGGGAGCCGAUGCCCUUCACUGGGUGUGUCGGGGAACCAGGACUUUUACUUUGAAAAAAUUAGAGUGUUCAAAGCAGGCCUAUGCUCGAAUACAUUAGCAUGGAAUAAUAGAA